CGUGGAAAAAGAGCAGGUGACACGGCAGGAGCAAAGACCUGGAGGCAGGGUGGGCGGGUUGAGGGUCUGUGGGCUUGGCCUCACCCGUGUCCUUUCUCUGCCUAGGACCUAUACUGCCCCUGUACCCCACCCAAGCCAUGGGCCC
ensembl:miRNA